AACACUUAAGGAGCAAACUCCAACCAGGAUCAUAAUAAAAAACGGUACCGCAAAACUAGAUAUCCAAAGCUGAAUAAAGCUGUAACAAGAAGGUCCAGUGUAAUCAAUGACUUAGAACAUUUCAACAGAGUGCGUAAUUAUUAUUUUCCAAGUUAACAGGUAAUUUCUUACAUAUUUUAUAUAAAUAUGCAAUAUUCAGAAAACUUUAGAUAUACACUACCGUCAAAAAGUUUAAGACCAAACUAACAAAUAGAGAUGAAGAUAGAAAUGACAUGACAUUUCUUCUGACUGUUUCUUCUUUGAUAAAUAACUAUAUGAUCAUAUUAUAAAAUUAUAAAAGCAAGUGAGAUAACAUUAUCUUUUGGGGAUGAAAGUAUAUAAUUAAAUCUAGUAAUUCUUUUAGUCCUAAACUUUUUGACGGUAAUGAAUGUUAUGUAUUACAAUAUGUAUUAUGUAUUAGUAUAUUGUUAGAAUAUUAAGUAAUUAAUAUUAAGCAUUAUAUCAAAAUAAAUUGCAUGUAUGGCUUAUUAUAAAAUCUUGCACUAAUGUGUAUUAUUUAAACUUAAUGCUUAUUGUCUACAUUGCCCAUAUUGUCUAUCAGUAUUCUUAACUAAAUUACAGAAAAACCUUUUGUAAAAUGUAUUUUAGAAAACAAUAUUUAAUAAAAUACAAAUGUUCUGGUAA